AGCAGCCGCGGUAAUCCCAGCUCCAAUAGCGUAUAUUAAAGUUGUUGCAGUUAAAAAGCUCGUAGUUGAAUUUCAGGCCUGGCUGGACGGUCCGCCCUUCGGGUGAGUACUGUCUGUGGUCGGGUCCUACCUUCUGGCGAAGCGUCAUGGCCUUAACCGGCUGUCGGCGGGGAACCAGGACUUUUACUGUGAAAAAUUAGAGUGUUUAAAGCAGGCUCACGCUUGAAUACAUUAGCAUGGAAUAAUGAAAUAGGACGUUUGACCCUAUUUUGUUGGUUUCUAGGAUCGACGUAAUGAUUAAUAGGGAUAGUUGGGGGCAUUAGUAUUCAAUUGUCAGAGGUGAAAUUCUUGGAUUUAUUGAAGACUAACUACUGCGAAAGCGUUUGCCAAAGAUGUUUUCAUUAAUCAAGAACGAAAGUUAGGGGAUCGAAGACGAUCAGAUACCGUCGUAGUCUUAACCAUAAACUAUGCCGACUAGGGAUCGGAUGAUGUUAAUUUUAUAAUGACUCAUUCGGCGCCU
rnacentral:rRNA from 1 species